rnacentral:lncRNA from 1 species
GGCAUAGCAGCUGCAGGCCAUUGGCAAGGCCAGAAGACGGAUAUAUUAUUCAACCCAUCCACAAGAGCAUCUCUCCAGGAGAAAUAAACAGGCGUUACUUUUGAUGAACUAGAGCUAUUCUAAGUAAAGCCUUCAGAUGAGUUCAGCACCAAUCAACAUUCUGAAUGCAACCACGUGAGGACCCUGAGUCAGGUCCACUGAGUCAAGCUGCUUUGGAAUUCCUGACCUACAGAAACCGAAUACCAGGAUAGAGAGAAAGAGAAGCCACAAUGAUACCACAGAAAGAAAGCUAGACAUCUUCAUUCAGGUGAGAGAAAGAGUGGAAGAAGAGAAAACUAAUCCAGUGCUGGAUGCUUCCUUCUGCUCCUCCUGCCCUUUGACAUCAGAUUCAAGGUUCUUUGGCCUCUGGACUUGGGACUUGCACCAGUGGCUUGCCAGGGGCUCUUGGGCCUUUGGCCACAGACUGAAGGCUGCACCGUCAGCUUCCUUGGUUUUGAGGCUUUCAGUCUUGGACUGAGCACUGGCUUCUCUCUUCCCUAGCUUACAGACAGCCUGUCGUGGGACUUUGGCUUGUAAUUAUGUGAGCCAAUUUUCCCUAAUAAACUCUCUUUCAUGUAUACAUAUAUCCUAUU